rnacentral:rRNA from 1 species
GUGGGGAAUAUUGCACAAUGGGGGAAACCCUGAUGCAGCGACGCCGCGUGAGUGAAGAAGUGCUUCGGCAUGUAAAGCUCUAUCAGCAGGGAAGAAGAUGACGGUACCUGACUAAGAAGCCCCGGCUAACUACGUGCCAGCAGCCGCGGUAAUACGUAGGGGGCAAGCGUUAUCCGGAUUUACUGGGUGUAAAGGGAGCGUAGGUGGCAGAUCAAGUCAGAUGUGAAAGCCCGUGGCUCAACUGCGGGAUUGCAUUUGAAACUGGUUUGCUAGAGUGCAGGAGAGGUAAGUGGAAUUCCUAGUGUAGCGGUGAAAUGCGUAGAUAUUAGGAGGAACACCAGUGGCGAAGGCGGCUUACUGGACUGUAACUGACACUGAGGCUCGAAAGCGUGGGGAGCAAACAGGAUUAGAAACCCUAGUAGUCC